rnacentral:rRNA from 1 species
AUGCAGUCGAGCGACGCAUACCGGAGGGGUAACCCACUGGUAUGACGGAGCGGCGAACGGGUGAGUAACACGUGAGUAACCUGCCCCACAGACCGGGACAGCCCAGGGAAACCUGGAUUAAUACCGGAUAUCCUCGAAGGAUCGCAUGAUCUUCCGAGGAAAUGCCUUUGUGCUGUGGGAUGGGCUCGCGACUUAUCAGCUAGUUGGUGGGGUAACGGCCUACCAAGGCGUCGACGAGUAGCUGGUCUGAGAGGACGAUCAGCCACACUGGGACUGAGACACGGCCCACACUCCUACGGGAGGCAGCAGCAGGGAAUCUUGCGCAAUGGGCGAAAGCCUGACGCAGCAACGCCGCGUGGGGGAUGAAGGCCUUCGGGUUGUAAACCCCUUUCAGGAGGGAAGAAAUUGACGGUACCUCCAAAAGAAGCACCGGCCAACUACGUGCCAGCAGCCGCGGUAAUACGUAGGGUGCGAGCGUUAUCCGGAAUCAUUGGGCGUAAAGAGCUCGUAGGCGGUUCAGUAAGUCGGCUGUGAAAUUUCGAGGCUCAACCUCGAAACUGCAGUCGAAACUGCUGUGACUCGAGUCCGGUAGAGGAGAAUGGAAUUCCCGGUGUAGCGG